rnacentral:rRNA from 1 species
UACGGGGGGGGUAAGCGUUGUUCGGAAUUACUGGGCGUAAAGGGCUCGUAGGCGGCCAACUAAGUCAGACGUGAAAUCCCUCAGCUUAACUGGGGAACUGCGUCUGAUACUGGAUGGCUUGGAUUUGGGAGAGGAAUGCGGAAUUCCAGGUGUAGCGGUGAAAUGCGUAGAGAUCAUGAGGAAGACCAGUGGCGAAGGCGGGUCUCUGGACAGUUCCUGACACUGAGACACGAAGGCCAGGGGAGCAAACGGG